ACGUGCUGAAAUACAGUCAGAAAGACCUGGAUGCAGUGGUGAACGUGAUGCAGCAGGAGAACUUGGAGCUGAGAAACAAAUAUGAGGACCUCAACACGAAGUAUCUGGAGAUGGGGAAGAUCGUUGAUGGAUUUGAGAAGAUCGUGUAUAAAUCAAUGGAGGAGGCUGAGAAACAGAAGGAACUAGCUGAAGACAAAAUUCAAAAGAUUUUAAGAGAGAGAGACCAACUUACUGCGGAUCUGAACUCUAUGGAGAAGUCCUUCUCUGACCUCUUCAAGCGGUUUGAGAAGCAGAAGGAAGUGAUUGAAGGCUACCAGAAGGGACGUGAUAGCCUAUCUAUCAGCAGGACAAGCUGCACCACGAGACUCUGGUAGGAGAGCACGGCCGAUCUGUGAGAUGUGGUUUUAGAGGCUUUAGGAGCCUCAGCAGAAGAGACUGAGGGUUUCCCUGCUUAGUGCUACUAUGUCUGGCAUGCACAAGGCCCUUAGCUCACUCUCCAUUAACUUUUCAACCCUCCUGUCCUCCCAAAAGAAAAAAAGAGGGGAAAAAAAAACUUUGCAGUUAUAGAGUUCUGUGAACAGACACCAUGACCAAGGCAACUCUUACAAAGGAAAACAUUUAAUUGAGGCUGGGUUAUAGGUUCAGAGGUUCAGUCCAGGAUCAAGGCAGUGUCUAGGCAGUCAUGCUUCUGGAGGAGACAAGAGUUCUACAUCUUGAUUGGAAGGAAGCCAGGAGAAGACUAUCUUCUACAUGGCUAGGAAGAGGGUCUCUAAGCCCACCCCCACAGUGACACACUUGCUCCAACUAGGUCACACCUAAUAGUGCUAUUCCCUGAACCAAGCAUAUUCAAGUCACCACACAGAGAUUGGUAUUUUUGGGCAAUGGAGUUUGGGGAACAGCUAACAGUGGGCUCAGGAAUAUCUUGCAAGAAAGGGGAAACUAGACUUCCCCAUGGGGUCAAGUGGAAAAAACAAGUCAUGUCAGAAACCAGCUGCGGAGCUCUCGUAUCUCCUGCUACAUGGCCCUCAGUAGUGGUUAUGAGAGGCCCAGAGUGUGCUGAGAGGAGCAAGGCUGCAUAUAUUAUAUUCCUCAGGACUGUGCUACCCCCAGUCACAAUCUGUAGGAAUCCUAGUCAUGGUUUGCACUCGAGUAAGAACUGAUGCCUGGUACUAAGGUCUGGGGGUUAGGCUCAGUUCCCAGAGGUGACAGUCCAGAAGCUCUCUUUACCUUGAAGGUGGGAUAGACUGUUUUGGUUUUUCAAGACCGGGUUUUUUUUGUGUAAGAGCCCUGGCUGUUGUAGAGCUCACUUCAUAGACCAGACUGGCCUCAAACUCAUAGGUCUGCCUGCCUCUGCAUCUCAAGUACUAGGAUCAAAGGUAUGUACAGCCACACCCAGCUCAAGGGGUGCUUUUUUAAAAUUUACAUUCCAAA
rnacentral:lncRNA from 1 species